UCCACAAGAUGUGAGCAGCAGGUCUGGGCUCAAAAUGUUUGCUGGGGAGUUUGAACUCCAUCCAAAAUAAGGAAAGGGCACAAUAGGGAGAAUUGUGGGAAGUCGGACUUAGAUGAGGCUAGAUCACCCAGAUCAGGCAUCUCAGUGAAGUUCUAAAACCAAGUCAGAAGGAGCAAUGAUAAUGAAAACCAAGGAGAAACCUUUAUCUAACCCGGGGCCACCGGAACCGUCAGAAUUCUAGCAGAUGCCCGUGUGGAGACAAGUCGCCCUGUGUGGAAGGAAGGAGAAGCUUGCUAGCAGUGAGGACACCACUAGCGUGAGACAGUGACAUAGCAGUGCCUUUCUCAGGGUUAGAGUCACAUUGAUCCCAACUAGCCCUACCUGAGGCAAAGCGAGAGACAAGACCAGUCUAGUGCCAAAGUAGCCCGCACUCGAGCCACAGCAGGAAACAGGGGCCAGCUCCUGUGCAGCCCCAGCACCCAGGCAUUCCAGCACCUGGACAGUCCGGCACCCAGGCAGCCUAGCACUGGGAUCACUCAGCACCUGGACAGCCUAGCACUGGGAUCGCUCAGCACCUGGACAGCCUAGCACCAAGACCGCUCAGACCUGGACAGCCUAACAUCCAGGCAUUGCAGCACCCCAGAAAGCUUAGCACCUGGGCAGCCCAGUACCUAGACAGUCUAGCAGCCAGGCAGCCUACCACCCAGGAAGCUCAUCACUAAGACAGCCUAACACACCCAGGCAGCCAGUACUCUCCAGGCAGCCCAACACUGGGACAACUCAGCACCUAAGAAAGCUUAGCACCUAGGCAACCUAGCAUCUAGGCAGCCUAGAAACCUGGCAGCCUACCACCCAGGAAGCCCAUCAUUAAGGCAGCACAGCACCCAGGCAACCCACAGUCAGUCAUAGAAGGAACCACACCGGAAGAAAGAGCCAGGGACCACCUUGGAAGCAAAGCACAGUGGGGUCUUGCGGGAGACAAGACUACAGCAUGUGGUUGGGUCCUGUCAGGUUCCCCACAAGGGAUGAAAACAACUCCAUCUUUGGUGCUGUCCAAGAAGGAGACAGAAAGGGGCCCAGUCUGAAACCCAAGCUGAUCUAUCAAAAGAAAGCCAGAACUCUCAGUGACCAUAAGAGAAGCAACUCAACUGUUGGAGUUUAGAACCUCAGACAUGCUCAAGGCUGGCUGGUCAGAAUGGCUUACUGCAGUUCCAACUUCUACUCAUUCUCACAUCAUUGGACUUCUUGCAUUUCCCCCUUUCAUAUGGAAGCUCCUGCUCUCAUUUCUGCAUUGAAGAUUUAAGCCCUUUCCCCCUUAGACUGAGCUUUUCAUUGUCAUGUGCCAUUAUUUACCUGAUGCCAGCUAGAUAAAUAAAGUCCCAAGAGGAGGUUUCUAUCCACUAAUGCCCACUUCAACAACAGAACUGAGCGCACCAGCUUCUCUUCAAAAAUCAAAGACAGAAACAAAUCAAACAGACAAUGACAUUUUACCAACAAAAAAGGGACAAUUCAAUAUGGCCCGUUCUUUGAAGAUUUUAAAGGAAGGAAGGUUCUAAAUUCAAUGGAAACUACAAACAGGAUAAGCGAAAAAGGGGGAAAAUAAGCUGUUGAUGUCAACUGGUAUCAGGGUAUUGAAUAUUACAUUCAUCAAAGUUCCUGAGUUACAUUUGCCCGGCAUGAUCCUGACUCUACAGCCAUCUACAAUAGAGUCUUUGCUUUUCUCCCUGG